GGGCUAUAUAUAUAUAUAAAAAUAUUAUGAAAAAGUAAACUAUUUGCUUACCUCCUACAAAUUAUACUAACUCAUAAACUACUCUGGUGUCAUUCUGAUGCUAUUAUUUUUACACUUAAUAUAUGCCGUUAUAAAAGAAACAUUAAUUAAAAGUAUAUAAUUUCAUUUCCAUGCCAAUAGUGUAAAUGGUCUUGCAUUCCUUAUAGAUUACAUGACAACUGCAAUUGAUUGUGUGCAAUAAAAUUACAGCAUUUUAACAUGAACAGUAUUUACAAGAAAAAUUAUGACAACAUAACAAAAAUGGUAAAAUAAAGGGUAAGAAUUUACUAUACAGCCCUGAGUAAUCAUUAGCAAGGGGCUUCACUGAAGAUAUAUAACAUAUAACAUAUGAAUUAAAAGUGAAAAUAAUAGUGCCCGAUGUAGAUGUGUAAAUAUAAUUUUAUAUAGCACUGUGCAAACUUUUU